GAUGAACGCUGGCGGCGUGCCUAAUACAUGCAAGUCGAGCGAACAGACGAGGAGCUUGCUCCUCUGACGUUAGCGGCGGACGGGUGAGUAACACGUGGAUAACCUACCUAUAAGACUGGGAUAACUUCGGGAAACCGGAGCUAAUACCGGAUAAUAUAUUGUACCGCAUGGUUCAAUAGUGAAAGACGGUUUUGCUGUCACUUAUAGAUGGAUUCGCGCCGCAUUAGCUAGUUGGUAAGGUAACGGCUUACCAAGGCAACGAUGCGUAGCCGACCUGAGAGGGUGAUCGGCCACACUGGAACUGAGACACGGUCCAGACUCCUACGGGAGGCAGCAGUAGGGAAUCUUCCGCAAUGGGCGAAAGCCUGACGGAGCAACGCCGCGUGAGUGAUGAAGGUCUUCGGAUCGUAAAGCUCUGUUAUUAGGGAAGAACAAAUGUGUAAGAAACUAUGCACGUCUUGACGGUACCUAAUCAGAAAGCCACGGCUAACUACGUG
rnacentral:rRNA from 1 species